ensembl:lncRNA
UUUCUAUUCAGGGGAAAAGAGAGGGUUUUUCUGGUGGCUCAGAUGGUAAAGAAUUUGCCUUCAAUGCAGGAAACCUGGGUUCAAUCUCCAGAUUGGGAAGAUCCCCUGGAGAAGGGAGGGGAAAGAGAAACUUCUACAGCUGGAUGAAGCUGUGGAUAUGUUCUAGAUUCUGGGCCAUCCUGACUCCCUGAGCAGCCCAAAUAGUUAUUUGGUAGGUAGACAGGCUGUGAGGGGAGGUGGAGAGGUCCAUACAUAACGAAGAAAAAUGGAAUUAAGAACUAGAAGUCUCCUUCAUUGGGGCCACUGGAGUGAAUCAAGAAAACAUCCAAAAAUCCUCGGUAAGAAAGUUUGUUCUCUCGGCAGACCUAAACAGGAUGUUUAAGAACAGAGAAAACUCAUGCAGACAGGAGUGUGUGCAUGCUCUCUUGCCCAGCUGUGGCAGACUCUUUGACCCCAUGGACUGUAGCCCGCCAGUCUUCUCUGUCUGUAGAAUUUUCCAGCAGGCAGAUUCUUUACCACUGCACCACCCGGGAAAUCUGCAGACAGGAGAGAGGCCCCCAAAUAUUAAAUGGUGGACACUCAAAAAAUACUAUUUCUGGUUGGCAACAUUCUAAGUCCUUCUUCUAAUCCAACACUUGAAAGAAUGCCAUACAUUUUUUUUUUGAAUACACAUAACUUGUUUGCUCCAUGCUUACAUGAGAAAUGGACUGUCUUGUUCAAACUGGAAUAAAUUGUUGAAAGAAAUAUAAGUGCUUAAGUGUCUUCUUCAGGACCAGGAAAUCAUCUAUCAUUUGGACUUUGAGUUGUAGCCUUGUAAAGAAGAAACUUGUUCCUUAUAGUUAUGCUGCUAAACUAGGAAUAAAGACCUCUGUUGAAAGAGAUGCUUUAGCAGUAUCUGGAUGAGAGAUUAACUCUACAAGAGGCAAAGGAAAUCACCUAUUUCCCCUUGUCCAACCCACUCAACUCAAACCAUCCAAAACUGUCAGUGGAUCUGAAAUGAGAGGAAGUGACUAAUUUGAUGAUCAAUAACAACACUGAUGGUUCAGGAUGUUAAGAUAAGGGUAAUGUAAGUCAUGCUUCUAACUAUGAACAGAUCGGUGGAAGGAAUCAAAAAAGCACCGGCGGUAACACAAUUGACUCAAAAGGUUCAGUGUUUUAUAUUCCAGACCACAUGUUUGCAAAUCAACAAGUAGCCAUCUCAUCUCACGUGGGCAUCCAAGUCUUCAUGAAGAGUGGAAUUCUGCUUCUUUACCAGAGUUGGAAUCAGGCAAACCUGCCAGCACUGACCUAGAUUCCCAGCCUUCUAAUAGAUGAGGGGCAUCUAUGUCUGAACUCAGGGAAAGGCCUGUUAGCCUGAGUUGGUGGCGUGUUGCAGCCUAACAAUCUCCUGUGUAGACAGUUGCUAAGCAUCGGGGCGACCAGCAGGCAUCCUGAGCUCUGCAGAGAC